UAGAGAGGGUGCAAGCGUUAAUCGGAAUUACAGGACGUAAAGCGUGCGUGGACGGUUGUUUAAGUCGGAUGUGAAAUCCCCGGGCUCAACCUGGGAAUUGCAUGCGAGACUGAACUGCUUGGGUACGGAAGAGGGAAGCGGAAUUUCCGGUGUAGCGGUGAAAUGCGUAGAUAUCGGAAGGAACAUCAGUGGCGAAAGCGGCUUCCUGGUCCAGUACCGACGUUCAGGCACGAAAGCGUGGGGAGCAAACAGGAUUAGAUACCCUGGUAGUCCACGCCAUAAACGAUGAGGACUAGCUGUCCGGGCACUUGGUGCUUGGGUGGCGCAGCUAACGCAUUAAGUUAUCCGCAUGGGGAGUACGGUCGCAAGUGUGAAACUUAAGUGAAUUGACGG
rnacentral:rRNA from 1 species